GGUUGUGGCUCAAUGGUAGAGCACUUGCCUAGCAUGUGUGAGGCACUAGGUUCAAUUCUCAGCACCA
rnacentral:tRNA from 1 species